GCUGCGCGGCCGUUGCGACGAGCUGCAUUGCUGAUUCUUCGCUUGCCUGAGACUGGCAAUUGUCGAGCGGGUUGCAUCCGUUGUUACGUUGCCCGAAGACAGUAGUAAAUGUGAUUUGCUGAUAGCACGAAUGCCAGCAAUGGUGCAACGUAGGAGUUCAAAGGGGGACAUGGUCAGUGUGGUUGGGUGCAAGCAACGUGUCAUUGUGGUUAUAAAAAAUGAAUCAGUAUACAUGUGAUUUAACUGUCAAAGCGGG